ACCAUGGAACGGGAAACGGAAGAUUCUUGACUCUGACCACUGUGUGAACUGUGGGAUCACUCAGUCAUGGGAAACACCGGGAGAGGAACAGACUUGUGAAGGAAGCUGUUCGGUAAUGCUUUGUGUUGUUCACGGAACAUCCAAACAGUAGUCACCUCCCCUGGCACAGAAAGAAGUCUGAGGGGAUAACAGAUUUGAGAGCUGACAGUAAUAUAGAGGUUCUUUAGAAACAUGGGAAUGACCCAUUGGGGAAAUGAGAAGGGCUGCAAAGCAAGUGAUUUCUGCCCAUGAUCCUUGCCGCCAAGUUCCCCUCCUGCGUGCCAAAUCCAGCCAAGCUUGGAAACACAAGUCAGACGGCAGAAACAGUUUGGAGAAGCCAGACUUGCCCAGAAUUACACAGGCACUCAAGAGCAAGACUAAACUGUAAAGCCCUGAAUCCGAGACAGAAAAGAAUAAUGAUCCUGAGCCCGGAAGGAGGCUGGAGAAGGGCCACCUCAUCAUUGCGCUGAGCUGGCUGUUUGACCUUAGGACACCUUCCAUUUGAUCGCAGCUGCAAUCUUGGAGCCCAGAAAGAGCUUACAUCAGAAGGGCUUCGAAUUCAUUCACUCCUCACCCCACCGGUUCCCACCAGAGCCACGCCUCCCUUUCGGAGGCCGCUGGGGAAAAGGAUGAGGUAGGCCAUAGCUUGUCCCUUUAAUGCGCGCCCCCAGAGGCCCGGCGCGCCCCCGCCACUAUAACUAGAGUGCAUGGAGCGGGCUGAGCUCAGAGGGAGAAGGACGGGCUCUGGGCACCCGCUGAUCGACUUUUUUCAAGUGCGAUCAGCUCCCUUACGUUCCUCCUCUAUGGACCCACCCGCGGGCACCCACCACUGAGGAUCCCACACCCGCUGGGCUCCCCGACUGGGUUCCACCCAGGUACCAGACAGUGAACCCCGAGGGCUGUGAGGGCUCCGGGCUUGAGUUCUUGCAGUGCCGUCGGACGAGGGCUGUGUUGCUGCCACGCCUCACGCCCCACACUACCCUCCCCAUGCUGGUGCACACUUACUCCGCCAUGGUGAGUAGUCCCGGGCACACUCGGCGGUGAGUGGGGGAUCGAGGAACCUGGGUGCUGGAACUUCCAAACCUCCUACCCCCUGCGUCAACGAAAUCGCGAGGGAAGGGUGAUGCAGGGCCUCUGCCAGGCUGAGAAAGUGGUGGCAGGAGCCCGAGGUCCCCAGCCUGGGAGUUCUGCCCGCAGGGCAUUCACUCGUGGACAGCAGCAGGACCCUCGUGAGCUGAGGGGCACCUCGCGGGCUGGUGUCUUUUUAUCCUCUAA